rnacentral:lncRNA from 1 species
CUGGCAAGGUUGCUGUGGUCUGUGGGUAUGGAGAUGUUGGGAAGGGCUGUGCUGCCGCGCUCAAGCAGGCUGGUGCCCAGGUUAUCGUGACUGAGAUUGAUCCAAUUUGUGCUCUCCAAGCCCUAAUGGAAGGUAUCCCAGUCCUAACCUUGGAAGAUGUAGUCUCAAAGGCUGACAUCUUUGUGACCACCACUGGGAACAAAGACAUCAUCAUGGUUCACCACAUGAAGCAGAUGAAGAACAAUGCAAUUGUUUGUAACAUUGGCCACUUUGACAAUGAGAUUGAUAUGCUUGGUCUGGAAACCUACCCUGGUGUUAAGCGCAUCACAAUCAAGCCCCAAACUGAUCGAUGGGUUUUCCCAGAAACCAACAGUGGCAUCAUUAUUCUCGCUGAGGGACGACUGAUGAACUUAGGAUGUGCAACUGGGCAUCCCAGCUUUGUGAUGUCAUGCUCGUUUACAAACCAGGUGAUUGCCCAGCUUGAGCUCUGGAAGGAGAAGGCAACGGGCAAGUAUGAGAAAAAGGUGUACGUGCUGCCCAAGCAUCUGGAUGAGAAGGUUGCAGCUCUUCACCUUGGAAAGCUUGGUGCUAAGCUCACCAAGCUUAGCCCCGAGCAAGCUGCUUACAUUAGUGUCCCUGUGGAAGGUCCUUACAAGCCCACUCACUACAGGUACUAGCCUGGUGAUUGUUGUGUUUUUGUUGGUGUGAUAUUAUGAUUCCGCCUGUUAUCACCUCUUAGAGAUCAGAUUUG